GUGGGGAAUAUUGGACAAUGGGCGAAAGCCUGAUCCAGCCAUGCCGCGUGAGUGAAGAAGGCCUUAGGGUUGUAAAGCUCUUUCGACGGGGACGAUGAUGACGGUACCCGUAGAAGAAGCCCCGGCUAACUUCGUGCCAGCAGCCGCGGUAAUACGAAGGGGGCAAGCGUUGUUCGGAUUUACUGGGCGUAAAGGGCGCGUAGGCGGAUAGACAAGUCAGAGGUGAAAGCCCUGGGCUCAACCCGGGAACUGCGUUUGAAACUGUUUGUCUUAAGUAUGGGAGAGGAUGGCGGAAUACCCAGUGUAGAGGUGAAAUUCGUAGAUAUUGGGUAGAACACCAGUGGCGAAGGCGGCCAUCUGGACCAGCACUGACACUGAGGCACGAAAGCGUGGGGAGCAAACAGGAUUAGAUACCCCUGUAGUCC
rnacentral:rRNA from 1 species